GAUGAACGCUAGCGGGAGGCUUAACACAUGCAAGUCGAGGGGCAUCACGAGGUAGCAAUACUUUGGUGGCGACCGGCGCACGGGUGAGUAACGCGUAUGCAACCUACCCUGUACAGGGGGAUAGCCCGGAGAAAUUCGGAUUAAUACCCCAUAAAGAUAUUUUAGGGCAUCCUAAUAUAUUUAAAGUUUCGACGGUACGGGAUGGGCAUGCGUGACAUUAGCUAGUUGGUAAGGUAACGGCUUACCAAGGCUUCGAUGUCUAGGGGUCCUGAGAGGGUGAUCCCCCACACUGGUACUGAGACACGGACCAGACUCCUACGGGUGG
rnacentral:rRNA from 1 species